UUUUUCUUGCGGCAAUCGAGGCGACUUUAAAGCCCAUACUAAAAAGGAGGCUUUUAUAACCCUCCCUUAGUUGUGGAUUAGGUAACUAAAGCCAGCUGUUUCUAGAGUGAAGAGACUACAGUUUUUUCAAAAAAAUAGUGCUGAGGAAGCUAAGCAUCGGCAGACUAUGUUGCCUGUUUUUCGCGGUGUGUCUAUUUAAACUGCAGUGCUAUUAACAUUUUAUAACCCAGGUGCCGAGCAGUACGUUGAAAGCAAUACGAUGUACAGUACUUCCAAGGAAACAUGAUAGUUAUCGACCAGUUUUGCCCCGCGGGAUGGGACUAAUAGAUAGAACCGAGAACUUUGAAUUUUAUCUACUGUGUGGUCUAUAUGAGGUCCAAACUGACAGAGGUUCCAUUUCCUAAGGCUGAACCCUGCCAUAGCCCUGGCAUCCACCACUGAUCUAGAUAUUGUCACAGAGGCUGAGGAGAGAAUUGGUGUCUACAGGGACAGCCGUGGGUUGAUCUCUCAAGCAGAAACUCCUGUACUGUACCAUAGAUGCCAGAGACUCUUUAGGACUGGCAGUCUGGGACACAAUUUAUAAGCUGAAGACACAUAAGCAUGAGACUCUUCAGCAGCCCUCCAAGCAAGAAGCCAGCAUGUCUUCCUCCAAGGCUCAAAAUCCAUAACAAGCAGCAGAGCCACACUGCACGCAUGGACAAUCAACAGAAUGCUAACCUACAGGCCUGCUCCUUUGAGGCCUUCUGCUUUU